rnacentral:rRNA from 1 species
UACAGAGGUCUCAAGCGUUGUUCGGAUUCAUUGGGCGUAAAGGGUGCGUAGGUGGCGCCGUAAGUCGGGUGUGAAAUUUCGGAGCUUAACUCCGAAACUGCAUUCGAUACUGCGGUGCUUGAGGACUGGAGAGGAGACUGGAAUUCACGGUGUAGCAGUGAAAUGCGUAGAUAUCGUGAGGAAGACCAGUGGCGAAGGCGGAUCUCUGGAGAGUUCCUGACGCUGAGGCACGAAGGCCAGGGGAGCAAACGGG